UACGAAGGGGGCUAGCGUUGCUCGGAAUCACUGGGCGUAAAGGGUGCGUAGGCGGGUCUUAAGUCAGGGUGAAAUCCUGGAGCUCAACUCCAGAACUGCCUUCGAUACUGGAAGACUUGAGUCCGGGAGAGGUGAGUGGAACUGCGAGUGUAGAGGUGAAAUUCGUAGAUAUUCGCAAGAACACCAGUGGCGAAGGCGGCGAUCUGGGUCGAUACUGACGCUGAGGUGGCGAAAGCGUGGGGAGCAAACAGG
rnacentral:rRNA from 1 species